rnacentral:tRNA from 1 species
CCGACCCCCGUCUGGCCGGUCUGGGCCUGCUCACCAACUACUCCCAGAUCCAGUGCGCCACCCCCACCGACACC